GAUAAAAAUUUUUUAUUAUUUUUUAAAUUGUUUUAUAUUUUAAAAAAAGAAAUUAUUAUUUUAUUAAUUUUUAAGAAAAAAUUAUUUUUAAUUAUAGAUUAUAGUAUUGUGAAAGAAAGUUUUUAUUAAUAAAAAAGAAAAAUUAAAAUUUUGUACCUUGUGCAUCAGGGUUGAUUAAAAAAUAAUUAAAUAUUUAAUAUUCUCGAAUUUAAAAGAGCUAAUUAAUUAUAUAUUUUAUUGUGAAAUAAAUAUUUAAAAUUUUUAAUUAGAAAUGAAACGUUAUUCGUUUUUAAAUUUAUCUAGUUUUUAAAUAAAUAAAUUUAAUUUAGUUAUUUUAAUUUAAAAUAUUAAUUUUUUAAUUUUUUAUUUAAAAUAAGUAAUUUUUUUAGGGAUUAGCUUAAAAAAAAAAUUUUAUAAUAAAUUAAAAUUAAAAUAAAUUAUAGGAUUAUAAUUUUCUAUAAAUAAUAAAAUGUUAUAAUUAAUUAUUUGUUUAAUAUUAUUUUUAUUUUAUUUAAAUUUUUUAUUUAAAUAUAAAUUUUAAUUUUAAAAAUUUAGUAAUGAUGAUUAAAUUAGUAUAAAUUAAUGUAAAAUUAAUUUUAAAUUAAAGGUUAAUUUAAGGAACUCGGCAAAUUUAUUUUUCACCUGUUUAUUAAAAACAUGGCCUUUUGAUUAUAAUUUAAGGUCUAAUCUGCCCACUGAAGUUUUAAAUGGCCGCGGUAUUUUGACCGUGCAAAGGUAGCAUAAUAAUUAGUUUCUUAAUUAGAAGCUGGAAUGAAAGAUUGAAUGAGAAAAUAACUGUCUCAAAUUAAAUUUUUUAGAAUUUUAUUUUUAAGUUAAAAAGCUUAAAUGAAUUUAAAAGACGAGAAGACCCUAUAGAGUUUUAUUUAAUUUUUUUUUAUAAAAAUAUGAAUUUUAAUAUUUUUUAAAAUUAAAUUAAAUUUUGUUGGGGAGAUAGAAAAAUUAAAUAAACUUUUUUUAUAUAAAA
rnacentral:rRNA from 1 species